UCAACGAAGCUGUUCACUGUGACAAUAACCAGCCAGUAAAUAUAGAUGGUUGUGUGUCUCACAUAUAAAAGCUCCAAGUAAACUCGUGGAAUCUUCUUUCGUUCGUAAGCUUUCAAUACAUGUUACCAAACACUAGGGUUUAAUUUUCUAUUCCUUUGCUAAAUCAUCUUAUCUCAAUACCAAUCUUGUGAUGAGGUAAUCCGAAACCGAUUUCUCGAAACUUGAUUUGGUGUUGGUCGGAUUUUACGGCCCUGCGUACGAGAUCUUUAUCAACGAGGUCACUGUGAUGUCGCCGUUCUCCCCACAAUAAACAUUCUCGAGACGCAUAGUAAUCUGAUCUCUUCUUCUGCAGCUACAUUCCCCAAUGACCAGAUUCGGCAGCCUUGCACCAAAGACCAAGAACCUGAUUGUUGCAGGUGGGUUGUCAGGCUUUGUUCUUGGGGUUUACUACUACACUAUGAGAGCGGUUGGGGGCACAGAUGAGCUGCAGGUUGCUAUCAACAAGUUCGAACAAGCCAAGAACAAAAAGGAGGCUGAAACAACAUCCUCUGCUGGCUCCUAGUCCUGUGCAGUUGUCAUUAAUGUUGGAAAGGUAUAAUUCAUUAGAAUGUUGUAAAGACUUGGUAGCUGUGAGAUUAUGGCCUGGUGACAUGCUUUUGGAAGAUUUUUAGUACUUAAUAAUGCGGAGUUAUGUUCUAUGACUCCUAUAACAAUAUGAAAAAUUCCAUGUGAAUGCCCUGUUCUUUGUUA